GUACUUGCUUCGGCAGUAUACUAAACGAUAAUUGAAAACGAUACAGAGAAGAUUAGUAUGUAUGACCCCUGCGAAAGGAUGACACACAAAAUCGUGAAGCGUUCCACAUUUUU